UACGUAGGGGGCAAGCGUUGUCCGGAAUCAUUGGGCGUAAAGAGCGUGUAGGCGGCUCGGUAAGUCCGCUGUGAAAGUCCAGGGCUCAACCCUGGAAUGCCGGUGGAAACUGUCGAGCUAGAGUCCGGAAGAGGAGAGUGGAAUUCCUGGUGUAGCGGUGAAAUGCGCAGAUAUCAGGAGGAACACCGGUGGCGAAGGCGGAUCUCUGGGCCAUUACUGACGCUGAGGAGCGAAAGCGUGGGGAGCGAACAGG
rnacentral:rRNA from 1 species